rnacentral:rRNA from 1 species
CCUACGGGUGACAGCAGUGAGGAAUAUUGGUCAAUGGACGAGAGUCUGAACCAGCCAAGUAGCGUGAAGGAUGACUGCCCUAUGGGUUGUAAACUUCUUUUAUAUGGGAAUAAAACGUUCCACGUGUGGGAUUUUGUAUGUACCAUAUGAAUAAGGAUCGGCUAACUCCGUGCCAGCAGCCGCGGUAAUACCGAGGAUCCGAGCGUUAUCCGGAUUUAUUGGGUUUAAAGGGAGCGUAGGUGGAUUGUUAAGUCAGUUGUGAAAGUUUGCGGCUCAACCGUAAAAUUGCAGUUGAAACUGGCAGUCUUGAGUACAGUAGAGGUGGGCGGAAUUCGUGGUGUAGCGGUGAAAUGCUUAGAUAUCACGAAGAACUCCGAUUGCGAAGGCAGUUCACUGGACUGCAACUGACACUGAGGCUCGAAAGUGUGGGUAUCAAACAGGAUUAGAUACCCUUGUAGUC